AGUGGAGAAAGGAUGAAUGAGUCUGUGCUUAUCGGCUAUCGGCUCUCUGCUCUCCCCCAAGCUGGCGUUGUUGUUGGUAGCCAUGACAACGGAGAUAGUCCCAGCUUUCUAAAUAAAGGCCCCAACACCCCAAAAAAGAAAAAAAAGAAAGAAAAAAAAACUCGGGAUUCCCUGCGCAGACCAGGAAUCCCGCUAGCAGGCCGAAGCUACAGAGAUGAUUUUGACCGAGCGAGACUCGAACCACCGACUGUCUGUGCUUCAACCUGCCAGGGGCCAGCGACAAGUGCUCUGCGCCACCUGCCGGGCCGUGGAAUUCGUGCAAAUUUGAUAUAUUUGACUUCUCUGAAGACAAAUUAUUUUUGAAAAGGAAAAAUAAUAAUUUUAAUGUGAGGCAAAAGAUGUAUGGUGCUCGGUAAAGAUGACACGCCGACUCACUUCUUCUUUUUUUGUUUUUGUUUUUUUGUUUGAGAAAGUUUGUUUUCAUAUUAAACCAGUGUCAGUGACGUCAUUCUAUGCGACUACCACAGGUGAAGGUGCUGCCCACCCAUGAUGCCAGCAAGGUGCGUGCAAGUGGAUCCGGCCUUAAAACCACUGGAGUGCCCAGCUCUCUGCCAGUGAAGUUCAACAUUGAUGGCAAAGAUGCAGGCGAGGGACUGCUGGCAGUGUAGAUCGCUGACCCAGACGGGAAGCCCAAGAAGCAAAUAUCUGUGACAACCAUGAUGGGACCUACCUGGUGUCUUAUGUACCAGACAUGACUGACAGGUACACCACACUCAUUAAGUACGGAGGAGACGAGAUCCCUUAUUCACCCUACUGAAUCAGGGCUCUGCCCACCCGAGAUGCCAGCAAGUGCACUGUCAUUGAAUGUUGUCCAGUGGCCAGCUGCUCAGUCCAUCCAGACUCCUCUCCAUAUGCAACAGUGAUGCCGGCUCUCUCCAAGUGAUUCCUUCAUCAUCAACAUCUGCGUCCACGAUCCACCAGCUCAACAGCAACAUCUGUCAGCUGUGCAUCCAACUGGAGGCCUUCGCCUGCUGUGCU